CAAGAAUCAAGUUUCAUAUAAAAGGUGGGUGCGGUCUUUGAAAAAUUACUUAAUCUCCUUGGACGGUCUUAUCUUUCAAACGUUUGGAAAAUAACAUCUCAAAAAUGAUGCGAUUGAUGUUUCUUGUACUAACAUCCUUGAUGGCAGUUCAAGCUUAUCGCCUAGGAGGAGGAUUAGGCGCUGGUCUAAGCGGUGGAUUAGGUAAUGCACUGCCUGCUGGCGUAGCUGGUGGUGUGUCUGGGGGAUUGAGUGCCUUAGGUGGAGGCUAUGGAGGUUUAGGAGGUCUGGGGGGUCUGGGGGGUUUAGGAGGUGUAGGCGUCCUGGGAGGACAGGGUUUAGGUUUGCCCCUAGGUGGACUAGGAGGCUUACCGUUGGGUGGUGGGAUAGGGUUAGGCCCAGCAUUGGGUUAAAAUUAGAUAGCCAUCUUUGUGAACCCAUAAAACAAUUAAUAUAAAUGUUAAUGUGAA